rnacentral:lncRNA from 1 species
AAUUAACACCGGACGACUCCUCAGCCGCCGGACGGCCCGGCAGCAGAGCCCUUUUUGCGGGAGGAAGGGCUGCAAGUCCCGCUUCCGCUUCCGCGCCGCUUCUAACCCGACAGCGGAAGUGCCGGGACCCCUAUAAACGGCACAAGGAAGCGCGACACGCACACGCCGUCGCGACGCCACGCUGCCAUCUAGGGCCCGCCGCUCCUUGUACGGGCACAGGAGGUGGGGCCUGCUGCCUGACGUCGAAGUCGAGGCGGGGCUCCGAUAGGGGGAACCUGGGGCUGGGGGCGGGGCCUAUGCAAAUCGCUGGGCUGAAACAUAAAUAGAGCACUCCGCGGACACGGGGGUGGCGGGGGCGGCCGGGUUGGAUGCGCGGUGGGUUGUGAGAAUGUCAGGCUCCUGUGACGCGGGAGGCGGGGCCCAGGCGGGGUUCCCGCGGGAGGGGGCGGGCCGCCGGGCCGGGCCUGAGGUGGGUGGGUCCCUGCGCCCCCUGCCUGCUCAACUUCCCUCUCCAGCUCCCGGCUCGUCUUUGAUGUCCGACAAAGUCUGACCCUGGGCGUAUGUGUCUGUGGCUCUAUAGGCCUGUGUCCUGGACGAGGUACUUGACAAACUGUGCUGGAACCUGCCUCAUCUCCUGCCACCUCAGAGCUUUCAGGUCCUCUGAAGACUACGUCUGGAAGGCCUCCCAGCUGCCUGCACACAUGCAGGGACAAGGCAUGGAGUAUUCAAGCGCCUUUUGGAGCAAGCUUUUCACCAUCUUGUACUGCCUGACUCAGAAGAUAAGAAUGAGGGGAUCUCAGUCUUUUGACGAUGUGCCAGCUGUGCUGUACAGGAAGGGAGAGAAUGAGCGGAGCUGCCGGAGGAGGGAUGUGCAGUCGAGUGUAGGAAGAACUGCCGCUGCCAGCCUCCACGUGCUGGAGGAGCUCACGGAAGGAGCUGCAGGGUCCCCACAGGCAGACUUCUCACCCGCAUCGACCGAGCACCUUCUGGAGAUUCCCUGCAACCCAUAAGAAGAUUCAGAAGGCCCACAGUCCUGGAUCUGUCUACCUAAAAGAAUCAAUUUUAAAAAUUAAAAAUUGUGCUGGGGACUGGUAUUGUGGCGCGGUGGGUUAAACCGCCACCUGCAGUCAGCAUCCCAUAUGAACACUGGUUUGAGUCCUGACGGCUCCGCUUCUGAUCCAGAUCCCUGCCAAUGUGCCUGGGAAGCAGCAGAGGAUGGCCCAGGUCCCUGGGCUCCUGCCACCUAUAUGGGAGGCCCAGACCCAGCUAUUGCCCUUUUAGGAGUGAACCAGAGGAUUGAAAAUCUCUCUCUCUUCUCUCUCUCUAACUCUGCCUUUCAAAUAAACGAAUAAA